UACGGAGGGUGCGAGCGUUGUCCGGAAUCACUGGGCGUAAAGGGCGCGUAGGCGGCUCAUGAAGGCUGUGGUGAAAGUCCGGGGCUCAACCUCGGAUCGGCCGUGGCGACUCGUGGGCUGGAGCACUGUAGAGGCGGGUGGAAUUCCGGGUGUAGCGGUGGAAUGCGUAGAGAUCCGGAAGAACACCGGUGGCGAAGGCGGCCUGCUGGGCAGUAGCUGACGCUGAUGCGCGACAGCGUGGGGAGCAAACAGG
rnacentral:rRNA from 1 species